AUUGAACGCUGGCGGCAGGCCUAACACAUGCAAGUCGAGCGGAUGAAGGGAGCUUGCUCCUGGAUUCAGCGGCGGACGGGUGAGUAAUGCCUAGGAAUCUGCCUGGUAGUGGGGGAUAACGUCCGGAAACGGGCGCUAAUACCGCAUACGUCCUGAGGGAGAAAGUGGGGGAUCUUCGGACCUCACGCUAUCAGAUGAGCCUAGGUCGGAUUAGCUAGUUGGUGGGGUAAAGGCCUACCAAGGCGACGAUCCGUAACUGGUCUGAGAGGAUGAUCAGUCACAAUGGAACUGCGACACGGUCCAGACUCCUACGGGAGGCAGCAGUGGGGAAUAUUGGACAAUGGGCGAAAGCCUGAUCCAGCCAUGCCGCGUGUGUGAAGAAGGUCUUCGGAUUGUAAAGCACUUUAAGUUGGGAGGAAGGGCAGUAAGUUAAUACCUUGCUGUUUUGACGUUACCAACAGAAUAAGCACCGGCUAACUUCGUG
rnacentral:rRNA from 1 species